rnacentral:lncRNA from 1 species
AUGUCUAUUUACAGGAUCCUCUAUGAUCCACCUCCCAGAAUUCUGGAAAUAAAAGCAAAAAUAAACAAAUGGGAUCUAAUUAAAAUUAAAAGCUUCUGCACAACAAAGGAAAAUAUAAGCAAGGUGAAAAGACAGCCUUCUGAAUGGGAGAAAAUAAUAGCAAAUGCAGCAACUGACAAACAACUAAUCUCAAAAAUAUACAAGCAACUUAUGCAGCUCAAUUCCAGAAAAAUAAACAACCCAAUCAAAAAAUGGGCCAAAGAACUAAAUAGACAUUUCUCCAAAGAAGACAUACGGAUGGCUAACAAACACAUGAAAAGAUGCUCAACAUCACUCAUUAUUAGAGAAAUGCAAAUCAAAACCACAAUGAGGUACCACUUCACACCAGUCAGAAUGGCUGCGAUCCAAAAAUCUGCAAGCAAUAAAUGCUGGAGAGGGUGUGGAGAAAAGGGAACCCUCCUACACUGUUGGUGGGAAUGCAAACUAGUACAGCCACUAUGGAAAACAGUGUGGAGAUUCCUUAAAGAACUGGAAUAUAAUUCCCUUAUGACCCAGAAAUCCGACUUCUGGGCAUACACACCGAGGAAACCAGAAUAGAAAGAGACACAUGUACCCCAAUGUUCAUCGCAGCACUGUUUAUAAUAGCCAGGACAUGGAAACAACCUAGAUGCCCAUCAGUAGAUGAAUGGAUAAGAAAGCUGUGGUACAUAUACACAAUGGUGUAUUACUCAGCCAUUAAAAAGAAUAUAUUUGAAUCAGUUCCAAUGAGAUGGAUGAAACUGGAGCCGAUUAUACAGAGUGAAGUAAGCCAUAAAGAAAAACACCAAUACAGUCUAAUAACACACAUAUAUAUAUGAAAUUUAGAAAGAUGGUAAUGGUGACCCUGUAUGCGAGUAACAAAAGAGACACAGAUGUGUAGAGCAGACUUUUGGACUGUGAGGGAGAGGCUGAGGGUGGGAUGAUUUGGGAGAAUGGCAUUGAAACAUGUAUACUAUCAUGUGAGAAACAAAUCGCUAGUCUAUGUUUGAUGCAGGAUACAGAGUGCUUGGGGCUAGUGCACAGGUAUGAUCCAGAUAGAUGAUAUGGGGUGGGAGGUGGGAAGGGGGUUCAUGUUUGGGAACUCAUGUAUACCCUUGGCAGAUUCAUGUCAAUGUAUGGCAAAACCAAUACAGUAUUUUAAAGAAAACUAAAGUAAAA